UACGUAGGGGGCAAGCGUUGUCCGGAAUCAUUGGGCGUAAAGCGCGUGUAGGCGGCUCGAUAAGUCUGCUGUGAAAGUCCAGGGCUCAACCCUGGGAUGCCGGUGGAUACUGCCGGGCUCGAGUCCGGAAGAGGCGAGUGGAAUUCCCGGUGUAGCGGUGAAAUGCGCAGAGUAUCGGGAGGAACACCAAUGGCGAAGGCAGCUCGCUGGGACGUGACGUGACGCUGAGACGCGAAAGCGUGGGGAGCAAACAGGAUUAAGAU
rnacentral:rRNA from 1 species